CUCACAAGAGGUAUCGGGAAAGUUUUUCGCUAUAGGAUGAGGCUGCGGCCUAUCAGCUAGUUGGGGAGGUAACGGCUCACCAAGGCUAUGACGGGUAGCUGGUCUGAGAGGAUGAUCAGCCACACUGGAACUGAGACACGGUCCAGACUCCUACGGGAGGCAGCAGUGGGGAAUUUUACACAAUGGGCGAAAGCCUGAUGUAGCAACGCCGCGUGGAGGAUGACGGAUUUAGGUCUGUAAACUCCUUUUAUAGGGGAAGAAAUUUGACGGUACCCUAUGAAUAAGCGCCGGCUAACUCCGUGCCAGCAGCCGCGGUAAUACGGGGGGCGCAAGCGUUACUCGGAAUCACUGGGCGUAAAGGGAGCGUAGGCGUUCUAUUAAGUCUCGAGUGAAAUCCCGCAGCCUAACUGCGGAACUGCUCGGGAAACUGAUAGAAUAGAGUAUGGAAGAGGUAGGUGGAAUUUCCAGUGUAGGGGUAAAAUCCGUAGAUAUUGGAAGGAAUACCAGAAGCGA
rnacentral:rRNA from 1 species